rnacentral:snoRNA from 1 species
AAGACUAUACUUUCAGGGAUCAUUUCUAUAGUUUGUUACAUCAUACUGCAUACAUCAAACAAUGAAGAAUCUAGGUUUCAAAUUACGAAUAUAUAUAUACCUUUAAGUCUUACCCUCAAGGUAAGAUAGGAAAGUGUCUGC